UGGGGAAUUUUGGACAAUGGGCGAAAGCCUGAUCCAGCAAUGCCGCGUGUGUGAAGAAGGCCUUCGGGUUGUAAAGCACUUUUGUCCGGAAAGAAAUCCUUGGUUCUAAUACAGUCGGGGGAUGACGGUACCGGAAGAAUAAGCACCGGCUAACUACGUGCCAGCAGCCGCGGUAAUACGUAGGGUGCAAGCGUUAAUCGGAAUUACUGGGCGUAAAGCGUGCGCAGGCGGUUUGCUAAGACCGAUGUGAAAUCCCCGGGCUCAACCUGGGAACUGCAUUGGUGACUGGCAGGCUAGAGUAUGGCAGAGGGGGGUAGAAUUCCACGUGUAGCAGUGAAAUGCGUAGAGAUGUGGAGGAAUACCGAUGGCGAAGGCAGCCCCCUGGGCCAAUACUGACGCUCAUGCACGAAAGCGUGGGGAGCAAACAGGAUUAGAUACCCUGGUAGUCCACGCCCUAAACGAUGUCAACUAGUUGUUGGGGAUUCAUUUCCUUAGUAACGUAGCUAACGCGUGAAGUUGACCGCCUGGGGAGUACGGUCGCAAGAUUAAAGCUC
rnacentral:rRNA from 1 species